rnacentral:lncRNA from 1 species
CCCCACUUUAAAGAGAACGAAACAGAGGCAGGAUGGGGAAGCCUCUUGUUAAGGAGUCCACACUCAGUACACUGCAAAGCAGGUACCCUGAGUGCCGGCUCCUCCAUCCAAACCCAAUGGCUAGACUUUCCCAUGUGUAGACUACAGCUGGAAAGGAUCUUGGAGGACACAUUUUAGGUCAACCUUCUCGGUGCGAAGACCCCCGACAGGCGAAGCGAUCUGCCCAGGGGUAGGCGGCGAGCGCGUGACAGGCUGCGAGGGGAACCUGAGACGCCCCAGUUUCUCCCUUCCCUUGCUGGCCUCUUGCUCACCCGCAGGGUGCGGGGGAGGCUGGAGGAGGAGCUGAGCAGAAUUGCGGCGGCGGCCGGGGGCCGGGGCUUUUGGGGCGGUCCCUGGCGGCCGCUUGUCCCAGAGCCCUUGGAGGGGAGCGCGCGCGUGCUGGCCUCUCCUGCGCGCUCCCGCCUCCCCGGGGCUCCGAGGAACCCGGGCACGUUCCGGACGGAGACUGCAGAGCUGGGGGUUGCUUCCCGCUGCCAGAGGCCGUGCCGUCCCUGGGACGUGGAGAAGCGCUCGAGCCGUCUCCGCCCCAGGAACUUUCCGCAGACUCAGCGCGAUCUGUCUGCGGAGGGAACCCCAGGUUUUAAAGGCAGUUCUACGAAACCGAGCACAGAUCAUGAAGAUCCGUGGAGAAAGGCACCCAAAUCAGGUCAGAAUCAGGAGACCCCACAUCAUCCCUGAGAUCUUUAAGGUCAUCUCUUCUGAUUAUGCUUAGAGGGG